CAAUCAAACUCGGUGAUAGCUGGUUCUCCCCGAAAUGCCUUUAGGGGCAGCCUCGGGCGUUCAGCAUCGGAGGUAGAGCACUGGUUGGGCUAGGGGGCCUACAAGCUUACCGAUCUCAGCCAAACUCCGAAUGCCGAUGCUCCAGAGCCCGGGAGUGAGGCUGCGGGGGCUAAGCUCCGUAGCCGAGAGGGAAACAACCCAGACCGUCAGCUAAGGUCCCCAAGUCUGUGCUAAGUGGGAAAGGAUGUGGAGUCGCCCAGACAACCAGGAGGUUGGCUUAGAAGCAGCCACCCUUGAAAGAGUGCGUAACAGCUCACUGGUCAAGUGGUUCCGCGCCGACAAUGUAACGGGGCUCAAGCACAGCACCGAAGCUACGGCAUUCCGCGUAUGGCUCGGCGUGUCCGGGUGACCGGCCACGUCCAGGCCGCGGGAUGGGUAGGGGAGCGUUCCCACGCGGGUGAAGCGGCGGGAUAACCCAGCCGUGGAUGCGUGGGAAGUGCGAAUGCCGGCAUCAGUAGCGAAAAGACGGGGGAGGAACCCGUCCGCCGAAUGCCCAAGGGUUCCUGGGGAAGGAUCAUCCGCCCAGGGUUAGUCGGGCCCUAAGCCGAGGCCGAGAGGCGUAGGCGAUGGAAGACCGGUUGAUAUUCCGGUACCACCUCAAUCGCGCCAAUGCCGAAUCCGAGCUGCUAAGGAAACCCCUCCACCUUGGAGGGGCUACCGACCCGCUCGGUAGUAGGCAAGCGAAGGGGAGACGCAGGAGGGUAAGUCGACCCAGGCGAUGGUCGUCCUGGGGCAAGGGGGUAGGAGGACCUCCCAGGCAAAUCCGGGAGGUCGUCAACUCCGAGACCCGAUGCCGAGCCGUCUCAGGCGAAGCGACCGAUCCCAUGCUGCCUAGAAAAACCUCUAGCGAGUGAUUGAGGUGCCCGUACCCCAAACCGACGCAGGUGGGCAGGUAGAGAAUACCGAGGCGAUCGAGAGAACCCUGGUUAAGGAACUCGGCAAAUUGCCCCCGUAACUUCGGGAGAAGGGGGGCUCCGGUAGGGUGAGGGACCUGCGUCCCGAGCUCGAUGGAGCCGCAGAGACCAGGCCCAAGCGACUGUUUACUAAAAACACAGGUCCAUGCGAAGCCGUAAGGCGCUGUAUAUGGACUGACGCCUGCCCGGUGCUGGAACGUUAAGGGGAUGGGUCAGGUACCGCCUUCGGGUGGUGCCGAAGCUCUGAACCUAAGCGCCAGUAAACGGCGGCCGUAACUAUAACGGUCAACCUUCUGGCCGUUGGAAAACUCGGCUAUAUGCUGGAAUAUCCGGAGAAUCCGGCGGUACUCCCUUGAGGAGUCACAAUCCGACCGGUGCGGACAAUCAGCAGGGAAGUCUUCGUGACCCCUCAGAGACUGCACGCCGAGUGCCGGUUGAGCCGGUGAAGAUACAGUCCGACCCUCAUGGCGACAUGAGGAGGGCGGCAGAAAUGACCGCCCCGCCGUCUGGGACGAAGAGUCCCGAACGGAGGUAACAGAGGUGCCUAAGGUAGACCGAGGGGGACGCCACCCCUCGCUGCCCCUUACACCGGCGACGGUGUGAUGUGCAGCUGGCUAUAUGCUGGGAACCCCGAGCAUCCGGUGGUACCGACCAUGUCAGACCCUCCGCGUAUGGUGGGGACAUGGCCGGUGACAAUCCAUCCGGUGCGGGCAAUCAGCAGGAAAGGCCAGGAAUCGAGCAGUGGAUCGUCGGCUUCGUCGACGGCGAAGGCUGCUUCAGCCUUCCGAUCCAUCGAAAUCCAAGCAUGAGGAUCGGAUGGAUGGUUCAGCCUCGAUUCGCAGUCGUGCAAGGCGAGCGAAGUGCGCAGGUUCUGCACCUGAUGAGGGACUACUUCGGGUGCGGGACGGUGUACCUCAAUCGUCGUAGGGACAACCAUCGCGAGGAUCUUCUCGUUUAUGGUGUCUUCAAUCAGCACGCCUUGCGAGGGACAAUCGUUCCGUUCUUCGAAGCAAAUCCACUGAGAACGGCGAAGGCCGAUGAAUUCAGGAAGUUUGCGGCGGUUCUUCGGAUGAUGGAGACCCGACUCCACCUCACGGUGGAGGGUCUUACGGAAAUCGCGAAGACGGCUGAGACGAUGAACCAUCGGAAGCCGUCCCGAUUCCUGGAAUCCCCAGAGGCCAUACGCCAGCCAACUCUUCUCGACGGGAAGAGCUGAAGAUAUGGUCCCGACCUCAUGGCGACGUGAGGAACUCGGAGCGAAAUUCCUUGUCGGGUAAGUUCCGACCUGCACGAAUGGCGUAACGACUUGGGCACUGUCUCAACCAGGGACUCGGCGAAGUUGCAAUACGAGUAAAGAUGCUCGUUUCCCGCGGAAGGACGGAAAGACCCCGGAACCUUUACUGCAGCUUGGUGUUGGGUCUUGGUACGCGUUGCGUAGGAUAGGCGGGAGGCUUUGAAGCCCGGGCUCUGGCUCGGGUGGAGCCAACCUUGAAAUACCGCUCUUCGUAUGCUGGGACUCUAACCUCGACCCGUGAUCCGGGCCGGGGACAGCGCCUGGUGGGCAGUUUAACUGGGGCGGUUGCCUCCUAAAGGGUAACGGAGGCGCCCAAAGGUCCCCUCAAGCCGGUUGGCAAUCGGCUGCCGAGUGCAAGGGCACAAGGGGGCUUGACUGCGAGAUCGACGGAUCGAGCAGGUGCGAAAGCAGGGCCUAGUGAUCUGACGGCUCCUCGUGGUAGGGCCGUCACUUAACGGCUAAAAGGUACUCCGGGGAUAACAGGCUGAUCUUGCCCAAGAGUCCAUAUCGACGGCAAGGUUUGGCACCUCGAUGUCGGCUCGUCGCAUCCUGGGGCUGGAGCAGGUCCCAAGGGUCGGGCUGUUCGCCCGUUAAAGCGGUACGCGAGCUGGGUUUAGAACGUCGUGAGACAGUUCGGUCCCUAUCCUCCGCGGGCGUAGGAGACUUGAGGGGAGCUGCCCCCAGUACGAGAGGACCGGGGCGGACGGACCUCUGGUGUGCCAGUUGUCGCGCCAGCGGCACUGCUGGUUGGCCACGUUCGGCAGGGAUAAGCGCUGAAAGCAUCUAAGCGCGAAGCUCGCCCCAAGAUGAGGUCUCCCACCGGGUCAAACCGGGUAAGGCCCCUCGCAGACUACGAGGUAGAUAGGCCGGAGGUGUACGCACGGUGACGUGUUGAGCCGACCGGUACUAAUAGGCCGAGGACUUGGCUCUU
rnacentral:rRNA from 1 species